rnacentral:sRNA from 1 species
ACGAGGUUUUACCGAAGACAGUAGGUGCUAAAAGCAUAAAUCCUACCGAGGCGAAAUAAAGUUAAUUAUUAAUUUUAUUUAUAUACCUCGUGGGUCUUCUACGAGGUUUUUUAAUCU